GAUAAAUAGACUAAUCUCUCGUGUGUGUUAGACAACAAAAAUCCCAUAGAGAUCCUUAAUAGUUUCUACCCUCACUUUAAACCUCAAAUGGCCUAAACCUAGAGUAUUUGAGUGCAUUGCCUUUGUUCAUGUCCACAACCAACAAAGAGGAAAGCUAGAUCCUCAAGCCAUAAAAUGUGUUUUCUUUUGUUACUCAUCCACUGAAAAGGG
rnacentral:lncRNA from 1 species